rnacentral:rRNA from 1 species
GACGAACCGAGCGAACGUUGUUCGGAAUAACUGGGCUUAAAGGGCGCGUAGGCGGGUCGGAAAGUCCGCGGUGAAAUCCCCCCGCUCAACGGGGGAACGGCCGCGGAUACUGCCGGCCUCGAGGGGGGUAGGGGCGAGCGGAACGCUGGGUGGAGCGGUGAAAUGCGUUGAUAUCCAGCGGAACUCCGGUGGCGAAGGCGGCUCGCUGGACCUUCACUGACGCUGAGGCGCGAAAGCCAGGGGAGCGAACGGG